GAUGAACGCUGGCGGCGUGCCUAAUACAUGCAAGUAGAACGCUGAAGGAGGAGCUUGCUCUUCUGGAUGAGUUGCGAACGGGUGAGUAACGCGUAGGUAACCUGCCUGGUAGCGGGGGAUAACUAUUGGAAACGAUAGCUAAUACCGCAUGACAACAGUUAUUGCAUGAUAACUGUUUAAAAGGGGCAACUGCUCCACUACCAGAUGGACCUGCGUUGUAUUAGCUAGUUGGUGAGGUAACGGCUCACCAAGGCGACGAUACAUAGCCGACCUGAGAGGGUGAUCGGCCACACUGGGACUGAGACACGGCCCAGACUCCUACGGGAGGCAGCAGUAGGGAAUCUUCCGCAAUGGACGGAAGUCUGACCGAGCAACGCCGCGUGAGUGAAGAAGGUUUUCGGAUCGUAAAGCUCUGUUGUAAGAGAAGAACGAGUGUGAGAGUGGAAAGUUCACACUGUGACGGUAUCUUACCAGAAAGGGACGGCUAACUACGUG
rnacentral:rRNA from 1 species